rnacentral:lncRNA from 1 species
GUCUGGUGUUGAAAUGUUAACACUGCAUGUCUUUCCUGAGUCUCCAGUGGGCCAAGUGUCUAAAAACCUCAGGGCCCACCACCCAGUGACCCAUAUAUGACCAAGGAGAACCAUUGCUUCAGGGCCAUCAGAACAUGUGACAUGAUGGCAUUAUUGUGACUCAGACAUAGCAGUAUGAAGAUGAUAUAGAGGUUAUGGACAUGUCCACUAACUGUCCUGAACAAGAAAGUGUUUUUGUCCAAAUAUUCAGCAAUGCAUGCGUUCAGGAUAAAUGAUCUCAAAGCAUCUAAAUCUUGAUUGCCUGUGUUAACCGCUGAUGAUUGUGCUGUAAAUUUUAGAAAAACUUUUUAUUCUGCUCUGUAAAAUGUGUAAUGUAUGAAAGUGCUUAUUUAUAAUGAAUGCUGCAAUGAGUUUUGACUGACUGUGUAUGGGGUUUGACCCCUGCUCCAAAUGCACUGCUAUUAGCUGUAACUGAAAUGUAAAGAAGGAAGCUCUAGUGAUUAGUGUGCUUUAUUUUGCACUCGUGGAUUAUUUCCUGUGGUAAAAAAACAGACUAAAUAAAGAUUCAUUCUCUGAGGUCAUUGAUAAAAAAA